AAAAAAUAGAAAAAUGACUAAUUAAAACUUAUUGUGCCAAAACAAUCAUGAUAAAUAACACAUUUAAGAGGUAAAUGAUAGGAAUAUAACUUGGUUUUAACAUUUCUAACACGAAGAAACUUGUGGAACUUGUCCUUGUGAAAUUAUGAAUUGACAGAAAAUGCCUUAAAAAAAGCGUCACACUCCUGACAUAUGUAAUGCACUCCCACAUCUAUGAUAUAAACAUAUCACAGUUGUAAUAAUUUUUUUUCUUCUCUUUGGAAUAGCCACUUCUGAAAAAUAAAGAAGAAGAAAAUAUUUAAGUCCUAUGUAUUCUUUGGUAGAUGUUUAAAGACAGUUGUCACACUCCUGACAUUUUUGGGUGCCUCUCUUUGGUGUCCAUUAAAACAAUAAAAUAUGUGAUUUAGAGCACCAACAUACCCUUAAUUAUAGUGCUAAUAUACCAAUACAAACUUAUUUCACAUACUGACAUUAUUGGACUUUAAAACAUGGUUACAAGG
rnacentral:lncRNA from 1 species